UACGUAGGGUGCAAGCGUUGUCCGGAAUUAUUGGGCGUAAAGAGCUCGUAGGCGGUUCGUCGCGUCGGCUGUGAAAACCCGGAGCUCAACUCCGGGCCUGCAGUCGAUACGGGCGGACUUGAGUGUUGCAGGGGAGACUGGAAUUCCUGGUGUAGCGGUGAAAUGCGCAGAUAUCAGGAGGAACACCGGUGGCGAAGGCGGGUCUCUGGGCCGUAACUGACGCUGAGGUGCGAAAGCGUGGGGAGCAAACAGG
rnacentral:rRNA from 1 species